CCCUGCUGUGCCAGCUCCGACUGCCCCUCAGACCCGGUCAACCUCCCAGACAACAGCUGGACCGGUGCAGCAUCCUGCUGGCGCUCAGCAGGUGCUUCUUCUCCCUGAGGGAUCGAAGCAGACCCUCCCAAAGGAGCAGCAAGAGUAGGUCAGUCAGGCCGUCUUCACAAGGAACAAGCAGCUCAAAUGUGUCCUGAAAAGCCAGCUUGAGCUGUGGUCCUCCCCUCCUCCUAACAUCAGCCUCCAGCUUCUCCCUCCGCCUACUUCCUCCGGCCGUUCUGCCUCUGGAUGCCCUACCACCUUUUUGGCCUUUAAGUUUGUGUGCACCCAGCCACAGUGCAAGCGCCACAAACUCACAGGCUGUGGGGUGUACAAGACGGCUCGGAGGGGGCUUGACGUGGACGGCUGGUAUUAUAUGGGGACGGAGUACCUGGAGUGCUGCCUCUGUAAGAGGACGCAAGUCAUCGCUUCAAGUUCCCAGCCAUCUUGACUUACAGGCUGUCCUGUGACCUGAAGGUGGUCAGGCUGAUGAGAGAGAGGACACUGUUCCCCAGUGACCCAGGCUGUACAACCAGCUGAGGGAGCAGCACAGCCUGGCCUGGAUGAGUCGCACCCUGGACUACCUGUCCAUCUGUGACCACUUUGUAGUCCCAGGUGCUGCACCACUGAGGGUAACACCUCCUCCUCCCUUUAUGGAUGUGCCAUCAGCCCAGUGGCUGCUGACUGUCCACGGCUACGACGUUCUGUUCCAGCUAGAGGACUUCAAGGCCCGAGUCACCUCCAUCUUUGGGUCCAUCCUGAAGAUGGAUUCAACCAAAAAGGAGGGUAACAUCAGCUCACACCAGAUGUGGGAAAAGAACACAGUGAAAGAAAUGACAGGAUAAUGUGUGACCCACACAGUCACAGCACAAUCGCCCCACUGUCUGUAUGUCCCCUGUAUACCGACUGUGCAAGUUAAGGUGAUAGAAGAUGGACUAAAUUACAAGACACACAAGUUAAAUGUGAAACUAUCCCUUUGUAGUAGACACAACUAACAAUGUCAUUGUAUUCUAAUCAACUCAUUACUCUUUUAAACAUUUUUUACAGUUCAUAUUUCGAUUUCAUACAUUGUCAAUAUUCACUGCCCUGACACAAAUUCUUAUAGGUAUUUUAGUUUUUUCAUUUCCCUUUCCUGUUUUGAAUGCAUACUAAAGUAAAAUAAACCUUUACCGUGCCUCUUGUACACUUAUCUUUUGCACUUAAAACAAUUCAGAUAGCCGUUAACAUUUUGAAGUUAGAGGAGAUAUAUAUAUAUAUAUAAAUAAAUUACAGGAGUGUCUGUAUAACUGUCACUUUGUAGUAGACAAUUAUAAGCAUUGCUUAUAUUCACACCCUACAUUUGAGUGAAAUACAGGUUAGUUACAAAUGUCAAACUUAAAACAAAUGUCCAAAUGUAACCAACUUCACAUAGUCCCCCACAAGAAAGACACACGAACAUCCACACUUCAGGUUGACUUUUAUCUGCAGUAAAAUAUACCAAACAGUGAUGACAGGCUUUGACAGGACGGUCACAGCCACACGUUCACUGGUUAGGUAGGACACAAGAUAUAUUUUUUUGAGAUGGUAAGCAAGGCUGCUGGCAAACGUGUGGCAGGCUGGCAUAUGCUCCAACACUUUUGAUUCAGUUUAAAAAUAAAUAUUGACACAAAA